rnacentral:rRNA from 1 species
AUUGAACGCUGGCGGCAUGCCUUACACAUGCAAGUCGAACGGCAGCACGGGUGCUUGCACCUGGUGGCGAGUGGCGAACGGGUGAGUAAUACAUCGGAACGUACCUUAUCGUGGGGGAUAACGCAGCGAAAGCUGUGCUAAUACCGCAUACGCCCUGAGGGGGAAAGCGGGGGAUCGCAAGACCUCGCGCGAUUAGAGCGGCCGAUGCCUGAUUAGCUUGUUGGUGGGGGAAAAGCCCACCAAGGCGACGAUCAGUAGCUGGUCUGAGAGGACGAUCAGCCACACUGGGACUGAGACACGGCCCAGACUCCUACGGGAGGCAGCAGUGGGGAAUUUUGGACAAUGGGGGCAACCCUGAUCCAGCAAUGCCGCGUGAGUGAAGAAGGCCUUCGGGUUGUAAAGCUCUUUUGUCAGGGAAGAAACACCGGCUCUAACACAGUCCGGGAAUGACGGUACCUGAAGAAUAAGCACCGGCUAACUACGUGCCAGCCGCCGGGUAA